UGGCGGCGUGCUUAACACAUGCAAGUCGAACGGGAAUUACUUAUUGAAACUUCGGUCGAUUUAAUUUAAUUCUAGUGGCGGACGGGUGAGUAACGCGUGGGUAACCUGCCUUAUACAGGGGGAUAACAGUCAGAAAUGGCUGCUAAUACCGCAUAAGCGCACAGAGCUGCAUGGCUCGGUGUGAAAAACUCCGGUGGUAUAAGAUGGACCCGCGUUGGAUUAGCUUGUUGGUGGGGUAACGGCCCACCAAGGCGACGAUCCAUAGCCGGCCUGAGAGGGUGAACGGCCACAUUGGGACUGAGACACGGCCCAGACUCCUACGGGAGGCAGCAGUGGGGAAUAUUGCACAAUGGGGGAAACCCUGAUGCAGCGACGCCGCGUGAAGGAAGAAGUAUCUCGGUAUGCAAACUUCUAUCAGCAGGGAAGAUAGUGACGGUACCUGACUAAGAAGCCCCGGCUAACUACGUGCCAGCAGCCGCGGUAAUACGUAGGGGGCAAGCGUUAUCCGGAUUUACUGGGUGUAAAGGGAGCGUAGACGGUGUGGCAAGUCUGAUGUGAAAGGCAUGGGCUCAACCUGUGGACUGCAUUGGAAACUGUCAUGCUUGAGUGCCGGAGGGGUAAGCGGUAUUCCUAGUGUAGCGGUGAAAUGCGUAGAUAUUAGGAG
rnacentral:rRNA from 1 species